UCUAUUCUCAAUUGAUCUUUAAUUACAUAUUUCAUAAUCAAGAUAAUCAAAUAAUGGAAAGUGAAUAUAAAUGCAUUCUUUCAGAUGAGUAAAUCAAAGGAAAUUAAGAACAUGCAAGUACAGAGAAUUUGUUCCUCUUGAACCUUUUGAGCAAAGCCAGAGGUAGAGGUGAUUAACUCUUUACACAUGCAUAUAAAGUGAUGUUAGCCAAUAAAAUUGAGCCACGCAAAGCAAAAUA
rnacentral:lncRNA from 1 species